ACUUAGAGUUUGAUCCUGGCUCAGAGUGAACGCUGGCGGCAUGCCUAACACAUGCAAGUCGAACGGUAACAGGCCCGCAAGGGUGCUGACGAGUGGCGGACGGGUGAGGAAUACAUCGGAAUUUGCCCAGUCGUGGGGGAUAACGUAGGGAAACUUACGCUAAUACCGCAUACGACCUAACGGUGAAAGCGGGGGAUCGCAAGACCUCGCGCGGAUGGAUAAGCCGAUGUCGGAUUAGCUAGUUGGCGGGGUAAAGGCCCACCAAGGCGACGAUCCGUAGCUGGUCUGAGAGGAUGAUCAGCCACACUGGGACUGAGACACGGCCCAGACUCCUACGGGAGGCAGCAGUGGGGAAUAUUGGACAAUGGGGGCAACCCUGAUCCAGCAAUGCCGCGUGUGUGAAGAAGGCCUUCGGGUUGUAAAGCACUUUUAUCAGGAACGAAACGCGCAGGUUUAAUACGUCUGCGAACUGACGGUACCUGAGGAAUAAGCACCGGCUAACUUCGUGCCAGCAGCCGCGGUA
rnacentral:rRNA from 1 species